rnacentral:rRNA from 1 species
UCAGGAUGAACGCUGGCGGCGUGCGUAACACAUGCAAGUCGAACGAAGCUAAGGGAGCUUGACUCCCAAAGCUUAGUGGCGGACGGGUGAGUAACGCGUGGGUAACCUGCCCUAUAGAGGGGGGAUAACGUUCGGAAACGAACGCUAAUACCGCAUAAACCAUAAAGAGCUGCAUGGCUCUGAUGGCAAAGAUUUAUCGCUAUAGGAUGGACCUGCGUUGGAUUAGCUAGUUGGUGAGAUAACAGCUCACCAAGGCGACGAUCCAUAGCCGGCCUGAGAGGGUGAACGGCCACAUUGGGACUGAGACACGGCCCAAACUCCUACGGGAGGCAGCAGUGGGGAAUAUUGCACAAUGGGCGCAAGCCUGAUGCAAGCGACGCCGCGUGAAGGAAGAAGGUCUUCGGAUUGUAAACUUCUAUCAGCAGGGAAGAAUAAAUGACGGUACCUGACUAAGAAGCCCCGGCUAGCUACGUGCCAGCAGCGGC